UAGAAUGUUAAUGCAGAUUUAAUUUUGUUUGAUUUUAUUUAUAAGAAUCUUUAGGGAUACCAAUAAUUCUGACACCUAUCAUUUUAAUUAGCAGUUUUUAUGCGGGGCUGAAGUGAAGAUGGAGCGUCUCGUUUCCCGGAGAAAGCCACAGCUCCUCUCGCAGCAAAAAAGUAAAUACAUUAGGAAAGCUGAACGCUGAAGGUAUUUCAAGAUGUCAAGUUGUCACGCAAAGCUGGUCAUUCCCUAUAGCCUGAAGACGCUGCUGGAAGGGGUCAGCGGAGCUGUGAUGAGGAGACAGCCAGAAAACAUUCCAAUUUGUGCUUCUUGCUACUUUACAGAACUACUGAAGUUCAGAGACGAAAAUCCAUCUCUUGACAUGGAGGACCUAGUAAAUGAAUUUCGGCAAAUUAAGAGGUCGCGGUGAGCCGGAGCCUCACCCGGCAUACACAGGGUGCAAGGUGAGACUACACCCUGGACGGGACGCCAGUCCAUCGCAUGCUUUCAAUACAGCGUACAGG